rnacentral:rRNA from 1 species
CGAACGGGUGAGUAAUGCAUCGGAACGUACCCAGUAGUGGGGGAUAACUUACCGAAAGGUAAGCUAAUACCGCAUACGCACUGAGGUGGAAAGCAGGGGACCGCAAGGCCUUGCGCUAUUGGAGCGGCCGAUGUCGGAUUAGCUAGUUGGUGGGGUAAAGGCCUACCAAGGCGACGAUCCGUAGCGGGUCUGAGAGGAUGAUCCGCCACACUGGAACUGAGACACGGUCCAGACUCCUACGGGAGGCAGCAGUGGGGAAUUUUGGACAAUGGGCGCAAGCCUGAUCCAGCCAUGCCGCGUGAGUGAAGAAGGCCUUCGGGUUGUAAAGCUCUUUCGGCCGGGAAGAAAUCGUGGUGGCUAAUACCUGCCAUGGAUGACGGUACCGGACUAAGAAGCACCGGCUAACUACGUGCCAGCAGCCGCGGUAAUACGUAGGGUGCGAGCGUUAAUCGGAAUUACUGGGCGUAAAGCGUGCGCAGGCGGUUGUGUAAGACAGGCGUGAAAUCCCCGGGCUCAACCUGGGAACUGCGCUUGUGACUGCACGGCUAGAGUACGGCAGAGGGGGGGUGGAAUUCCACGUGUAGCAGUGAAAUGCGUAGAGAUGUGGAGGAACACCGAUGGCGAAGGCAGCCCCCUGGGUCGAUACUGACGCUCAUGCACGAAAGCGUGGGGAGCAAACAGGAUUAGAUACCCUGGUAGUCCACGCCCUAAACGAUGUCGACUAGUUGUUGGAGGGGUAAAACCCUUUAGUAACGUAGCUAACGCGUGAAGUCGACCGCCUGGGGAGUACGGCCGCAAGG